UUGUAGCAUGUAUUUAAAUGCUUCAUGUCCCCUUUCAUCUGCCACCCUCAUUUUCCAACUUCCUUCAUUUUGCUCAACUCAAAGAGAACUCAAAACUCUUCUUUAUUUCUUCCCCAAAAAACAAUUAAGGAACUCUAGCUUUUUGUCUCCUUUUCCUCUCUUUCUCUCUCUCUACAACACCACAUACACAAGAUUAUCAUCAUAAACUAAAUAGUCAACUACAUGAUGCACAAAUUUAUCUCCUAUUCUAUUCUACUUCUCCUCCUUGGCCUCUCUCUUCCGAGAACAUCCACUCGUCUACUGGAACUUAAGCACAAAGAUGAGCAAAAUCAUCCAAUCCCGACUGAAGUUUCAUUUCCGAAGUUAGAAGACAAAGAUUCCAUAGAUGAGUUGAUGGGAUUAGAGAUUUGUGGGAAUGGAGAUGAGGAGUGCUUGAAGAGAAGAAUGGUUUCAGAAGUUCACUUGGACUACAUUUACACUCAGCAUCACAAGCCAUAAAAGUGUAAUUUAUGGAGCGUAUUAGCUAAUUUUAUGACUUAAACAUAAAUACUUUAAUUAGAAUAUAGAUUAGUUUGUGAAAAUUUUUAACCUCUGUUAUACAAAGAUGGUUAAUUCAGGUAAAAAGCUAAGGGUUUCAAUGGUUUCAUGGAUUUUUCCUCUUGUGAAAAACUAGAGGAUUUUUUUUUCCAGGAAACUGAUGUAUAAUAAUUAAUAGCCCUUAUUUUAUUAAUUAAUCUAUUUAGUACAUCCACGGGCCAACCUAUGUAGCCCCAUGGUAGGCAUUGAACAGCCGCAUCCCUAUUUUCUUAGGAAAAAUAUUUUAAAAUUUGACUUUAUAGAUGAUUAU